ACAGGAUGGAGCGACUGGCACACAGUGUCUCCAGUACAGCUGCUCUAUUUCAAUUACCAACAAAAGACCUUGAGAGGUUGUCCAAAAUGUGCUUUCUUCUUUAGCCAUUUUUAAAAUCUGCAUCUAGAACACAAAAGUGGAUACUCUCCAUAAAAAAUGUCACUCAUCAAGGUCAAUAUGUGACUGUUUUUACUGAAAUUGAAGUAGCAGAUGGUCUCAUUUCAGGUGUGAUUAGAAAAUAUUUUCAGUGAUUAAAAAGAACAAUUCCAAAAUCCCCCAGCACAGCACACCCAAAGAUUAGUGUUGUUUUUGAACACAAACCACAAGUUACCAUGAUAAAAGAUCACAGGUUAGAAAAAGUGAGUAGAAGCCACUUUUGAUUCCUUGCAAAGACUCCUAAAACCAGAUUAACCUUGGUUUGCUGCUACAGUCCCCAGCUUCCCAGAGCAAAGCCUGGCUGAAACCCUGUAGUAAA